rnacentral:rRNA from 1 species
UGGGGAAUAUUGGACAACGGGCGAAAGCCUGAUCCAGCCAUGCCGCGUGUGUGAAGAAGGUCUUCGGAUUGUAAAGCACUUUAAGUUGGGAGGAAGGGCAUUAACCUAAUACGUUAGUGUUUUGACGUUACCGACAGAAUAAGCACCGGCUAACUCUGUGCCAGCAGCCGCGGUAAUACAGAGGGUGCAAGCGUUAAUCGGAAUUACUAGGCGUAAAGCGCGCGUAGGUGGUUUGUUAAGUUGGAUGUGAAAUCCCCGGGCUCAACCUGGGAACUGCAUUCAAAACUGACUGACUAGAGUAUGGUAGAGGGUGGUGGAAUUUCCUGUGUAGCGGUGAAAUGCGUAGAUAUAGGAAGGAACACCAGUGGCGAAGGCGACCACCUGGACUAAUACUGACACUGAGGUGCGAAAGCGUGGGGAGCAAACA